rnacentral:piRNA from 1 species
UGACAGAUUUAUUUUCAGAAAAGCCCACAAGU